AACGGCUUUUUUUAGCUGCUGAAGUGCCACUAGCCAUUCUGGAAUCAUAUUGUUUGUAUAACUAUUUGAAUAAUAUGUCUCAGAAUGUUGUGGUCCUUUAGUACCCACAGCACCAUCUUUU
rnacentral:precursor_RNA from 12 species